rnacentral:rRNA from 1 species
UUUUCCGGUUGAUCCUGCCGGACCUGACUGCUAUUGGAUUGAUACUAAGCCAUGCGAGUCAUUGUAGCAAUACAAGGCAGACGGCUCAGUAACGCGUAGUCAACCUAACCUAUGGAUGGGAAUAACCUCGGGAAACUGAGAAUAAUGCCCAAUAGAACACUAUACCUGGAAUGGUUUGUGUUCCAAAUGAUUUAUCGCCGUAGGAUGGGACUGCGGCCUAUCAGUUUGUUGGUGAGGUAAUGGCCCACCAAGACUAUUACAGGUACGGGCUCUGAGAGGAGUAGCCCGGAGAUGGGUACUGAGACACGGACCCAGGCCCUAUGGGGCGCAGCAGGCGAGAAAACUUUGCAAUGUGCGAAAGCACGACAAGGUUAAUCCGAGUGAUUUGUGCUAAACGAAUCUUUUGUUAGUCCUAGAAACACUAACGAAUAAGGGGUGGGCAAGUUCUGGUGUCAGCCGCCGCGGUAAAACCAGCACCUCAAGUGGUCAGGAUGAUUAUUGGGCCUAAAGCAUCCGUAGCCGGCUCUGUAAGUUUUCGGUUAAAUCUGUAUGCUCAACAUACAGGCUGCCGGGAAUACUGCAGAGCUAGGGAGUGGGAGAGGUAGACGGUACUCGGUAGGAAGGGGUAAAAUCCUUUGAUCUAUCGAUGACCACCUGUGGCGAAGGCGGUCUACCAGAACACGUCCGACGGUGAGGGAUGAAAGCUGGGGGAGCAAACCGGAUUAGAUACCCGGGUAGUCCCAGCUGUAAACUAUGCAAACUCAGUGAUGCAUUGGCUUGUGGCCAAUGCAGUGCUGCAGGGAAGCCGUUAAGUUUGCCGCCUGGGAAGUACGUACGCAAGUAUGAAACUUAAAGGAAUUGGCGGGGGAGCACCACAAGGGGUGAAGCCUGCGGUUCAAUUGGAGUCAACGCCGGA